AGAGAGCGGCUGAGGGGGGAGGGAACAGCCCAACUCCCAAAUGUCCAAGUUCAGGAAGGUUCAGCAUGAGCUGGAGGAGGCUGAGGAGCGUGUCGACAUUGCUGAGUCUCCGAUCAACAAGCUCAGAACCAAGAGUUGUGACUCUGGAAAGGUUAAAGAAGCUGAAUAGACAUGACAACAACCGGUCCCAAGACAGUGCUAUGUUUCAUAAGAUAUGAUUUUCAUCGUGAUAUUUUUGGGAUUGUUUGACAAUAAAUCA